GACGAACGCUGGCGGCGUGCCUAAUACAUGCAAGUCGAACGCAUUUUCUUUCACCUUGGCUUGCUACACCGAAAGAAAAUGAGUGGCGAACGGGUGAUUAACACGUGGGCAACUUGCCCAUCAGCGGGGGAUAACAGUUGGAAACAGGUGCUAAUACCGCAUAAUUUCAUUUACCGCAUGGUAUUGGGAUGGAAGGGGCUUUUCCGUCCGCGUUUGAUGUACCCGCGGGGGUUUUGCCUGUUGGUGGGGUUACGGCCUAUCCGGGCUGCGAUGGGUAGCCGACCGGCGAGGGUGAGCGGCCACACUGGGACGGAGACACGCCCCAGACGCCUACGGGAGGCAGCAGUAGGGAAUCGUGGGCAAUAGGCGCAAGUCUGAGCGAGAAGCGCCGAGUGAGGGAAGAAGGUUGUCGGAUCGUAAAACUCUGUUGUUAGAGAAGAAAAAGCAUGAGAGUGGAAAGUUCAUCCCUUGACGGUAUCUAACAAGAAAGCAACGGCUAACUACGUG
rnacentral:rRNA from 1 species